rnacentral:rRNA from 1 species
GGCUUGUUGAUUAUAAUUUCAGGUCUGACCUGCCCAAUGAGUAGUUAAAUGGCCGCGGUAUUUUAACCGUGCAAAGGUAGCAUAGUCACUAGUUUUUUAAUUGAAAGCUUGAAUGAAAGGUUUGAUGAAAAAAUUUCUGUCUCUAUUUAAAUUUAUUAGAAUUUUAUUUUUAAGUUAAAAAGCUUAAAUGUUUAUAGAAGACGAGAAGACCCUAUAGAGUUUUAUAUUUAGCUAGUUAGUAUUAUUUAUGAUUUAAAAUGUUUUAUUAAUUAGGGAAAAUAUUUUGUUGGGGUGAUGGAAAAAUUUAAUUAACUUUUUUUUAAUUUAAACAUUAAUUAAUGAGUGUAUGAUCCUAAGUUUAAGAUUACAAGAUUAAAUUACCUUAGGGAUAACAGCGUGAUUUUUUUUAGAGUUCUUAUCGAAAGAAAAGAUUGCGACCUCGAUGUUGGAUUAAAAUUUAUUAUUGGUGGAGAAGCUAAUAAAUUGGGUCUGUUCGACCUUUAAAAUUUUACAUGAUCUGAGUUUAAACCGGUGUGAG